GAAUCUAAAGUUUGAUAAAGUCAUAGGUGGUGAGACUAAGGUUGUCGAAGGGAUAAAAUACUGCCUCAACAUUACUACUACCGGUGGUAUUGAUUUUAACAAAUAUACUGUUACUGUUUUGGAGAAGGCAUGGCUACACUUUAGAAACCUCACUUACUUUGUGCCUAUUCGUGAUUAAAUCAUUCUUGGAUCUUAUAGCAUCAUUCACAUGUAAUCGUGCAAUAAAUUAUUUUUCAUUAUAAUGAAUUGUGAAUCCAAUUGUGUUGUCAAUAUUUACAAACUUUCUUAUGAAUAUGAUUCUUCGUAAAAUUGUUUAUUUUUAUUUUUAUAGAAAUCGGAAAGUUCAUAUAAGUUUUUGUAUUUUGAUGAGAUAGAUUAUUAUAACAUGUUUGAUUUUCAAUUUGCAAAACUUAAUUUUGUAAUAGAAAAAUAGUUUGACUUGAAAAUUAAUUUUUAAACUUAAUUUUUUUCUAAAUCAACGUUUAUUCAUAAGCAACACAACACUUGUUAUUUAUGGCUCUCAUUUUCUCAUUCAAAUGUGAGAUUUUUGUUAUUUUUUUUCUUUCUCCCCCAAUUAAAUUUUUUUUUUCACACUUGUUUUUUUUUUAAGCUUGAAUUUUUAUGCUUGGUAAAAUUGUCUUCGAUUUUAAUUUACAACAAUUUGUUUUCAUCAUUUGUUUAAUUUAUUUGUGGUUGAGAUAUUUUUGUAGCAGUUAUUGUUAUUUAUCACAUCACUAUAUUAUUCACAUUAAUAUAUAUAUAUAUAUAUAUAUAUAUAUAUAUAUAUAUAUAUAUAUAUAUAUAUAUUAGUAAAUAUACGCUUAAAAAUAUUUUAAAUAUAUAAUUUAAUCAAAUUUUAUUAUGGAAAAUGAAAUUCGAAUACAAAAUAUUAAACAUAAAUUAUGUUAAAUAAAAUUAAUUUAACUAAAAAACACAUUUAUGAACGUUAACCGAAAAAUAUAUUUGAAUUAAAAAUAUUGGUAGAAAGAUUAUAUAAUAAGCAAAAUUCUUAAUUUUAUCUUUGAUUUAAGACCAAGAUAAUGAUUUAACACGAUCUAUGAUUUGAGCUAUAAAAUUACUACGUUGUUUGAAGACACUUGAUUGAAAGCGGUUAGAAUAAAUAUUUUUCUCAGUUUCUGUUUUACAUAAAAUUUAAAGUUUAGUACCUACAUUAUUAGUGUAUGACUCUUUCAUUAGAACUAUAUAUUUUUAUUUUGUACAUUAUUUUUUAUACUUAUUUUGUUUAUUUUAAAAAAAAUAUAUGUCAAAUAUAUAUUAUUUUACAUCAUAAUAUAAAAUAAUAUUUAUUUUUAUUAGUGAGCACUAACUAAUCUGCUAUCAUGCUAUCACACACGUAUAUAUCAAAUGCGAAUUAAUAAAGACGUAACAUAGUGCAGCAACUUGAGGCGUCUUCAAUUAUUUUUUACUCAAUGACCUAUAUUGAAACGACUAAUCAAUUGUAUUUAAAUGGUUUAAUUUUUAUUUGAAAUGAUAUUUUUGUCUAACUAUAGAAUUGAUUAAAUAAAUAUAGAUUAUCUUUAUGUGAAUUUUUUUCUUUAACUAAAUUAAACAUCACACUGAAUGAUAGAUUAAAGUUAAGGAUCAAGCGUCGAAAAAAAUACAAUUGAUAUAAAAAACCAAAUUAUAUCAAAUGAAAUUUGUCAAUUUUAUUGAGAAUUCAAAUUAAACAAUCAGAACAAUAAUAUAAACGAAUGAAAAUGAAUGGGAUCAUCGAGUAUAGAUUAACAAUAUAAGAUAAACCUCAAAGUCUUGAUAAAAUUCGAAAAUAGUGGAGUAAUCCUAUAAUUUAACAUUCCAUGAAAAAUCCAGAAAAAAAGUUAUUAUUCUAUGGUUAAAAAAUAUAAAUUGGAUAUCUAUUCUCCAAAAAAAAUAAAAACCCUUGAUUAUAAAAUCUAAUCAUUAGUUUGUUAAAAUAAUAACUCUUGAUUAUUUCACUUUACAUUUCACUCAUUUUAAAUAAUUAUAAUCAUCUCAUUUAAUAUGUCUUUAAAGAUGAUAUCGAAUGACGCUAUGAUAUCAAAGUUUAAUUUGGCACAAUUUUAGUUUUUUGAUUUUAUUUAAUCGAAAGAUAAAAAACAAUCACUAAAAUAAAUAUUUUAUAAGAUCAAAUAUGUAAUUAUUUGAUUAUAACUUUUCCUAGGAUAGAAGAUUUUGCACCUUAUUAACUAUUGACGAAAAAUUUCCCUUGGUCUCUCUUUGUUUGACAGCAUAAAAUUUCUUUAUUUUUUUAUUAAUAAAAUAUGAAACUUGCACUGUCAAAUCUCUUGAAUAAAAAAUUUACCUCUAUUGUACUCUUAUUAAAUUUGAAGAUAAUACCCGAAUAAAAAGAAUAAAAGCAUAAGAAAUCUUCUUGAUUUUUGUUUGACUUAAUACAUCAUGUAACAUCAAUAACGGUUUCAGCUACUGAAGAAAUAUCAUUAAGGGUUUGUGAUUUUGUUAAUUCUUGAUAUUUCAUAUCUUUGAAACUCAACCUAUGCGCUUAAUUGCAAAAAUUCAAUGGAAACGGAUGUGCAGUGGCAACAGAGAAGUAGGAAAAUAUGGAAAUAUUUGAAAAUAAAAAUAAGGGCAUAUGACAUGUGAAAAUAGAUUUAGACUCUUGAUCUUUGACCUAUGAAAUCACGUCCAUGUAUUAUUUUUUAUAUCAAUAAUAUUUAACACAUUUAAGUUUUAUUUUUUAAAAUCUAUUUUAUUUUUUAUUUUUUUCAUUAUAUUAUUCUCAAUAUGUUGAUUAGGUUGACGGACAUUGAUCAUUUUUUUACGAGUAACAUAAUCCAUGUUGAUGGGUGAGUUGUAUGGAAUCACUACAAGAAAAUUGACUUUUAGUGACAUACAAAGUUUGUCACCAAAAGUCAAAAAUUACAAGUAAAUGUCAAUAAUACUUUGAAUGACAUCUAAAUCUAUUGCCAAUUUUAAGGGGGCAUCUUGCUAUACUUUGAAGACUGUCACUCCAAUUUUGAGAUAUGUAACUACAUGUUUUUGAUUUCUAACUACAAUAAUGACUAUCACUAAAAACUAGAUAAAUAUAAAUAAAGAAUUAAUAUAUUCCUACAGUAUUGUUUGUCAAUAAAAAAAAGGAUAAAUAUUAAUAAGCAAUUAAUAUGUUCAUACGGUAUUGUCUGUCACUAAAACUUAUUAUUAUUUAUUAAAUUAAUUUUUUUUUAUCUCUCUAUUAAUUGUAAUUCUAAAUUAUUAAUACAAGUAAAUUAUAUUUAAAUUUCUAAUAUAUUUUUAUUAAUAUGUUCAUACGGAAAUGUCCAUACUGCAAACACAAUAUUUCCAAAUUACACAGAUCUGAUAAUCACACAAAUUUAUUUUGUCCACGCAGCAAACAUCGUAGACAAUGACAUCCUCAGACAAUUUCAACUUAUAAAGUUACUGAUUAGUUUUAAUCCUCAACAUGAAGAAUCUGUUAGAAUGCUAACACAUGGUUUCCGCAAAAACAUAUGAUUCAAUUUACUUGAUGAAGUUUUCGUUUUCUUAAAAAGAGAGAGAAGGGGACAUAAGCUAGAGGAAAGAGGGUAUAACAAAAAUGAUGAAUGAGUAGAAGGUACCUCUCCAAAUUACCUUGUACUGACAAUGCAAUUAUGUGGUUUUCCUUUUCAGACAAAAUUUUAAUCAAGCAGUGCUCUUUUCCUUAAACUAAUAUAUUCUUUAAAAAAAAAUCAUAAAAGUUGAAAGCAGAUGAACCUAAAUUGAUGUACGGUAAAUUCUAUUUCUAGCAGAGUAUGUAGUGACAAAACAGGUUUGAAAUUUCAAAAUCCUAUUGCACUAAGUAAUUAAGGGAGAUAAAUAAAAAACAACCAAUAUCAUUCUAUCCAUCAAAAGGACAAAUGGAUUAAGGACAAAUGGAUUACUUUACUUGAUCAAGUGGUUCUAGAUUUGCUUUCAUAUUGGAGGGUAACUACAUGUAUUCCUUUGCGCAACCAAUCAUAAUAAUAGCCAACAAUGGCAGAAUCAGCUGUGCAGUCCACUAAUGCCGUAUUUGGUAUAAAUUGAUUUACAUGCAUGUGUUGAACACAUUUUUCCAAAUCAGUCACUUCUCCUCUUUCCUCUCGAAGUUCUUUCCACAUUGCAAAGUCAAUACCCUUGCAGAGAGCAAUUACAAUAUGAAUUAAUUGAGCAUGAGCUUAUUUUGUCAAUCGUGCACAUAUAGCCAACGACAUAAGUUAACACAUCCCAUGAUGCAUUUUGUAAAUGUAGUUCCAUGAUGCGUAGUGGCCAAAUAAUUCCUAUUGUCAACAAUUGAACUAUAUAAGUAUGUGAGAGAGUCACGAUACUAAAAUAGAAACCAUAAAAUCACACAUAUCAAGAAGCAUGAAUUACCAAAAGUAAUCAGGUAUCACUUAAAUUUUGAACUUACAAAAAAUGAAUAAAAAUGUUCUAAGAUUAACGGCAAGCAACAAAGCCUAGCCGUGUAUCAUUUAGAGAGAUUCAAUUUAGGGAGAUUUCACUGAGAAGCAUUGACUUUGAGCCAAGUAUGUCCAUUACACGCAAAUUAAUGUUAAAUUCUUCUUUCAGAACUGAAGCCUGCAUUGAAUGAAUUUUGAAUGAACUUGUCACAUAUUUCAAGAAGCCUUCUAGUAUUUACAAAUAUGAAAUAUCCAAAUGAAUUUUUAGCAAGCCAGAGCAUCAUAUUUAAGGGAGGUAGACUACUCAAUAAUUCUACAUUUUAUUUCUAUUUCUGUUAUAAUUUUAAAUUAUGAUAUCAACUACGAAAUAUGAAACUAAUCUUAAAACAUAUUUUGAAAUACGAAAUAUGUAAGAUAAGAAAUUAAUCCUAAUACAAUAUAUAAUAUAAGAUGAUCUGCAAUAAUACUAAGAUAUUAAUAUUUAAAAAAAUUAGGUUGGACUUUAUGAAUGAUUUUUUCUUCUUCUUUAUAAUCAAAACAUAUUCUGUUGAAAAAUGUAAUAUAUAUAUAUAUUUUUUUUUAUAAGAAAACAUGUUGUAAGCAAAUAUAUUAUAUUAGGAUAGAAUUGAAUUCGAAAAAAAAAAAUAUUGCGCAAGAAUAUGAGAUUAAUGUGUUAUACGACACUAUGAGUAGAUAUUCAAUAUAUAUGAAUUUAAAAAUCUAUUAUAAAUUUAAUAUAGACACAAACAAUUUUGGAAAAUGUUUUAUAUAAAAACAAUUUUUGAAUUUGUUAAUAAUUAUUUUAUAUUUGAUAUAUAUAUAUAUAUUUCGGAAAAUCUAUUAUAAAUGCCAUAUAGUUAAAAACAAUUUUCGAAAUUGUUAAUAAUUAUUUUAUAUUCCACGUAAAUAAUAAUAAUAAUAAUAAUAAUAAUAAUAAUAAUAAUAAUAAAAUAAUAAGAAAACCAUAAUGAAAAAAUAGAAAAUAAAAAUGAGAUAUUUGUUUCUUUUUCUUUUUUAUCAGAAUAUUUUCUUCUUUAAAUGUGCUGAUUUAAAUUUAUUUUUUUGACUCAGAUUUAAAUCUUUUUAAGAUGUGGUAAAUAUAUUUGAUUUUUUAUUAUAAGUAAGCUUUUACUAUAAAUAAAUAAGAGUUUAAAGAGUUGGUGUGAAAAGGAAAAGGUAGGAAAAAGGAAAAUUUCCCAAAAUUUGGUAAAAACUUUUCUCUGAAAAAAUUUAAUGAGGUAGGUCUUGCUAUUCUGUCUAUUGUUCUUCAUGUAUAUAAACAUUUACUUGUAUCAGCUGUUUUUUUUAUCCUUAAUUAAUCUACAACCUACUAGUAUUGUUUUUAGAGCAUGUAACUCGUUGUGCAUCUCUUAUCUGCUUUCAAAGGAGGAAGAUGAGGAAUUAUGGGCUUAACCCAUGAGGCCCAUUCUGAUAAAUAAAUAAAUAAAUAGUAGGGGUAUUUUGCAUCCAAACCAAUAAAAAACGUAAAUUAAUGAAAAUCAGUUGUUAUUAUACUGACAUUUAUACUUUUUCUCUUUAAAAAUGUAAAUAUAAAUUAAUAAGUUUGAUAUAUAUGAUUUAAAUUUUGAGUCAAAUACAUUAAAUAUAAAGAAAGAGUAACUCGUGAGAAAAUAAUAGUUACAGUUUGAGUUACGUGAGACUUCAAUAUGUUGUUCUUCUCCUAUUUGUUGUGUCGGUGUCCUCUCUAUCGCUACAUGACAUCAAGUUAUCUCCGAUAAGUGGUGAGACUAAGGUUGUCGAAGGGAUAAUUUAUUGUCUCAACAUUACUUUUAACCUAUUCACGAAUAAAUUAAUCUAGGAUCUUGUAACAUCAUUUACAUGCAACACAAUAAUAAAAAUGUUUUGUUCAUUAUAAUGGAGGGUGAAUGUAAUUGUCCGGUUAAUAGUUACAAAAUUUCUUGUGAUUAUCAUUAAUAAACUAAUUAAUAGAUGGGGUAUUCACAAUUAAAUAAACGAAAAAGUGAAAGCAGUACAAAAUUGAAUAUUAUUGAAUAAUUUUCAAUUUAUUUUAUAUUGAAUUCUAUUUUUAUAUUUAUUUUUGAAAAUGGAACCAAAGCAUAAAUAGAAAUUUUAAUUUUUUUUUAGUUUUUUAUUAAUAUGAAAUAAUGUAUUCAACUAUUAUUUGUUAAUUUUAAUUAACUUUUAAUAAUAUUUAUCUGUUUAAUUUUGUAUAUUUUUAUUCUUAUGUCAGAAUUUUAAAUAUAAUUGAUCUAUUUUAAUCCGUGAUAUUAAUUUUUAGUAUAUUAUAUAUAAUAUUUUACUUAAAACUUGUUACACUAAUGUAAUUUUAUAUACUAUAAUAAAAUAUUAUACUUCAAAUUAUAAUUUAAAUCAAUUAAAAAUUGAUCCAAUUAAAAUCACAUUAAUUUAAAUUAAAUCAGAGUUUUUUGUUGUUCUUUAAUCAAACUCAAUUACAAAUAUUUUAAUAUUUAAAUCUGAUGAGUUUUUCGCAUAAAUAUUUAACAAUAAUGUCACUUUAUUAUUAUUUAUUUUAGUCAACCCAUUUAUUAUGGUAAUGUGAAAAUUAGUUGUUGUUGUACUCACAUAUACGUUUUCUCCCUUAAAAAAUAUAAAUAAAAUUUAAUAAAAUAAAAAUUGAUAUACAUAUAUAUAAUUUAAAUAUUGAGUCAAAUAAUAAAGAGUAACUCAUGUGCAAUAUAAAUAACAGCCUAACGAGCAAACAAUAACUCACAGCAAAAAACACCAUUUGUAAAUCUUGAAAAAAUAAUAGUUACUAUUUGAGCACCAUGAGACAUCAAUUUGUUGUUGUUCUUCUCUUUGUUGUGUUUGUGGCUUCUAUGGCUACAAGAAAUCAACUUAUCCCAGGUACGUGGGUCCCCAUCAAGGACCUUAACGACCCACAUGUGACCGAACUUGCCAAUUUCGCCGUAACCGAACAUGACAAACAAACACAGUCGAAUCUAAAGUUUGAUAAGGUCAUAGGUGGUGAGACUAAGGUUGUUGGAGGGAUAAAAUACUGCCUCAACAUUACUACUACCGGUGGUAUAGAUUUUAACAAAUAUACUGUUACUGUUUUGGAGAAGGCAUUGCUACACUUUAGAAACCUCACUUACUUUGUGCCUAUUCGUGAUUAAAUCAUUCUUGGAUCUUAUAGCAUCAUUCACAUGUAUUCGUGCAAUAAAGUAAUAAAAAUGUUUAUUUUUCAUUAUAAUGAAUUGUGAAUCUAAUUGUGUUGUCAAUAUUUACAAACUUUCUUAUGAAUAUGAUUCUUCGUAAAAUUGUUUAUUUUUAUUUUUAUAGAAAUCGGAAAGUUCAUAUAAGUUUUUGUAUUUUGAUGAGAUAGAUUAUUAUAACAUGUUUGAUUUUCAAUUUGCAAAACUUAAUUUUGUAAUAGAAAAAUAGUUUGACUUGAAAAUUAAUUUUUAAACUUAAUUUUUUUCUAAAUCAACGUUUAUUCAUAAGCAACACAACACUUGUUAUUUAUGGCUCUCAUUUUCUCAUUCAAAUGUGAGAUUUUUGUUAUUUUUUUUCUUUCUCCCCCAAUUAAAUUUUUUUUUUCACACUUGUUUUUUUUUAAGCUUGAAUUUUUAUGCUUGGUAAAAGUGUCUUCGAUUUUAAUUUACAACAAUUUGUUUUCAUCAUUUGUUUAAUUUAUUUGUGGUUGAGAUAUUUUUGUAGCAGUUAUUGUUAUUUAAAAAUUUCACAUCACUAUAUUAUUCACAUUAAUAUAUAUAUAUAUAUAUAUAUAUAUAUAUAUAUAUAUUAAUUAGUAAAUAUACGCUUAAAAAUAUUUUAAAUAUAUAAUUUAAUCAAAUUUUAUUAUGGAAAAUGAAAUUCGAAUACAAAAUAUUAAACAUAAAUUAUGUUAAAUAAAAUUAAUUUAACUAAAAAACACAUUUAUGAACGUUAACCGAAAAAUAUAUUUGAAUUAAAAAUAUUGGUAGAAAGAUUAUAUAAUAAGCAAAAUUCUUAAUUUUAUCUUUGAUUUAAGACCAAGAUAAUGAUUUAACACGAUCUAUGAUUUGAGCUAUAAAAUUACUACGUUGUUUGAAGACACUUGAUUGAAAGCGGUUAGAAUAAAUAUUUUUCUCAGUUUCUGUUUUACAUAAAAUUUAAAGUUUAGUACCUACAUUAUUAGUGUAUGACUCUUUCAUUAGAACUAUAUAUUUUUAUUUUGUACAUUAUUUUUUAUACUUAUUUUGUUUAUUUUAAAAAAAAUAUAUGUCAAAUAUAUAUUAUUUUACAUCAUAAUAUAAAAUAAUAUUUAUUUUUAUUAGUGAGCACUAACUAAUCUGCUAUCAUGCUAUCACACACGUAUAUAUCAAAUGCGAAUUAAUAAAGACGUAACAUAGUGCAGCAACUUGAGGCGUCUUCAAUUAUUUUUUACUCAAUGACCUAUAUUGAAACGACUAAUCAAUUGUAUUUAAAUGGUUUAAUUUUUAUUUGAAAUGAUAUUUUUGUCUAACUAUAGAAUUGAUUAAAUAAAUAUAGAUUAUCUUUAUGUGAAUUUUUUUCUUUAACUAAAUUAAACAUCACACUGAAUGAUAGAUUAAAGUUAAGGAUCAAGCGUCGAAAAAAAUACAAUUGAUAUAAAAAACCAAAUUAUAUCAAAUGAAAUUUGUCAAUUUUAUUGAGAAUUCAAAUUAAACAAUCAGAACAAUAAUAUAAACGAAUGAAAAUGAAUGGGAUCAUCGAGUAUAGAUUAACAAUAUAAGAUAAACCUCAAAGUCUUGAUAAAAUUCGAAAAUAGUGGAGUAAUCCUAUAAUUUAACAUUCCAUGAAAAAUCCAGAAAAAAAGUUAUUAUUCUAUGGUUAAAAAAUAUAAAUUGGAUAUCUAUUCUCCAAAAAAAAUAAAAACCCUUGAUUAUAAAAUCUAAUCAUUAGUUUGUUAAAAUAAUAACUCUUGAUUAUUUCACUUUACAUUUCACUCAUUUUAAAUAAUUAUAAUCAUCUCAUUUAAUAUGUCUUUAAAGAUGAUAUCGAAUGACGCUAUGAUAUCAAAGUUUAAUUUGGCACAAUUUUAGUUUUUUGAUUUUAUUUAAUCGAAAGAUAAAAAACAAUCACUAAAAUAAAUAUUUUAUAAGAUCAAAUAUGUAAUUAUUUGAUUAUAACUUUUCCUAGGAUAGAAGAUUUUGCACCUUAUUAACUAUUGACGAAAAAUUUCCCUUGGUCUCUCUUUGUUUGACAGCAUAAAAUUUCUUUAUUUUUUUAUUAAUAAAAUAUGAAACUUGCACUGUCAAAUCUCUUGAAUAAAAAAUUUACCUCUAUUGUACUCUUAUUAAAUUUGAAGAUAAUACCCGAAUAAAAAGAAUAAAAGCAUAAGAAAUCUUCUUGAUUUUUGUUUGACUUAAUACAUCAUGUAACAUCAAUAACGGUUUCAGCUACUGAAGAAAUAUCAUUAAGGGUUUGUGAUUUUGUUAAUUCUUGAUAUUUCAUAUCUUUGAAACUCAACCUAUGCGCUUAAUUGCAAAAAUUCAAUGGAAACGGAUGUGCAGUGGCAACAGAGAAGUAGGAAAAUAUGGAAAUAUUUGAAAAUAAAAAUAAGGGCAUAUGACAUGUGAAAAUAGAUUUAGACUCUUGAUCUUUGACCUAUGAAAUCACGUCCAUGUAUUAUUUUUUAUAUCAAUAAUAUUUAACACAUUUAAGUUUUAUUUUUUAAAAUCUAUUUUAUUUUUUAUUUUUUUCAUUAUAUUAUUCUCAAUAUGUUGAUUAGGUUGACGGACAUUGAUCAUUUUUUUACGAGUAACAUAAUCCAUGUUGAUGGGUGAGUUGUAUGGAAUCACUACAAGAAAAUUGACUUUUAGUGACAUACAAAGUUUGUCACCAAAAGUCAAAAAUUACAAGUAAAUGUCAAUAAUACUUUGAAUGACAUCUAAAUCUAUUGCCAAUUUUAAGGGGGCAUCUUGCUAUACUUUGAAGACUGUCACUCCAAUUUUGAGAUAUGUAACUACAUGUUUUUGAUUUCUAACUACAAUAAUGACUAUCACUAAAAACUAGAUAAAUAUAAAUAAAGAAUUAAUAUAUUCCUACAGUAUUGUUUGUCAAUAAAAAAAAGGAUAAAUAUUAAUAAGCAAUUAAUAUGUUCAUACGGUAUUGUCUGUCACUAAAACUUAUUAUUAUUUAUUAAAUUAAUUUUUUUUUAUCUCUCUAUUAAUUGUAAUUCUAAAUUAUUAAUACAAGUAAAUUAUAUUUAAAUUUCUAAUAUAUUUUUAUUAAUAUGUUCAUACGGAAAUGUCCAUACUGCAAACACAAUAUUUCCAAAUUACACAGAUCUGAUAAUCACACAAAUUUAUUUUGUCCACGCAGCAAACAUCGUAGACAAUGACAUCCUCAGACAAUUUCAACUUAUAAAGUUACUGAUUAGUUUUAAUCCUCAACAUGAAGAAUCUGUUAGAAUGCUAACACAUGGUUUCCGCAAAAACAUAUGAUUCAAUUUACUUGAUGAAGUUUUCGUUUUCUUAAAAAGAGAGAGAAGGGGACAUAAGCUAGAGGAAAGAGGGUAUAACAAAAAUGAUGAAUGAGUAGAAGGUACCUCUCCAAAUUACCUUGUACUGACAAUGCAAUUAUGUGGUUUUCCUUUUCAGACAAAAUUUUAAUCAAGCAGUGCUCUUUUCCUUAAACUAAUAUAUUCUUUAAAAAAAAAUCAUAAAAGUUGAAAGCAGAUGAACCUAAAUUGAUGUACGGUAAAUUCUAUUUCUAGCAGAGUAUGUAGUGACAAAACAGGUUUGAAAUUUCAAAAUCCUAUUGCACUAAGUAAUUAAGGGAGAUAAAUAAAAAACAACCAAUAUCAUUCUAUCCAUCAAAAGGACAAAUGGAUUAAGGACAAAUGGAUUACUUUACUUGAUCAAGUGGUUCUAGAUUUGCUUUCAUAUUGGAGGGUAACUACAUGUAUUCCUUUGCGCAACCAAUCAUAAUAAUAGCCAACAAUGGCAGAAUCAGCUGUGCAGUCCACUAAUGCCGUAUUUGGUAUAAAUUGAUUUACAUGCAUGUGUUGAACACAUUUUUCCAAAUCAGUCACUUCUCCUCUUUCCUCUCGAAGUUCUUUCCACAUUGCAAAGUCAAUACCCUUGCAGAGAGCAAUUACAAUAUGAAUUAAUUGAGCAUGAGCUUAUUUUGUCAAUCGUGCACAUAUAGCCAACGACAUAAGUUAACACAUCCCAUGAUGCAUUUUGUAAAUGUAGUUCCAUGAUGCGUAGUGGCCAAAUAAUUCCUAUUGUCAAGAAUUGAACUAUAUAAGUAUGUGAGAGAGUCACGAUACUAAAAUAGAAACCAUAAAAUCACACAUAUCAAGAAGCAUGAAUUACCAAAAGUAAUCAGGUAUCACUUAAAUUUUGAACUUACAAAAAAUGAAUAAAAAUGUUCUAAGAUUAACGGCAAGCAACAAAGCCUAGCCGUGUAUCAUUUAGAGAGAUUCAAUUUAGGGAGAUUUCACUGAGAAGCAUUGACUUUGAGCCAAGUAUGUCCAUUACACGCAAAUUAAUGUUAAAUUCUUCUUUCAGAACUGAAGCCUGCAUUGAAUGAAUUUUGAAUGAACUUGUCACAUAUUUCAAGAAGCCUUCUAGUAUUUACAAAUAUGAAAUAUCCAAAUGAAUUUUUAGCAAGCCAGAGCAUCAUAUUUAAGGGAGGUAGACUACUCAAUAAUUCUACAUUUUAUUUCUAUUUCUGUUAUAAUUUUAAAUUAUGAUAUCAACUACGAAAUAUGAAACUAAUCUUAAAACAUAUUUUGAAAUACGAAAUAUGUAAGAUAAGAAAUUAAUCCUAAUACAAUAUAUAAUAUAAGAUGAUCUGCAAUAAUACUAAGAUAUUAAUAUUUAAAAAAAUUAGGUUGGACUUUAUGAAUGAUUUUUUCUUCUUCUUUAUAAUCAAAACAUAUUCUGUUGAAAAAUGUAAUAUAUAUAUAUAUUUUUUUUUAUAAGAAAACAUGUUGUAAGCAAAUAUAUUAUAUUAGGAUAGAAUUGAAUUCGAAAAAAAAAAAUAUUGCGCAAGAAUAUGAGAUUAAUGUGUUAUACGACACUAUGAGUAGAUAUUCAAUAUAUAUGAAUUUAAAAAUCUAUUAUAAAUUUAAUAUAGACACAAACAAUUUUGGAAAAUGUUUUAUAUAAAAACAAUUUUUGAAUUUGUUAAUAAUUAUUUUAUAUUUGAUAUAUAUAUAUAUAUUUCGGAAAAUCUAUUAUAAAUGCCAUAUAGUUAAAAACAAUUUUCGAAAUUGUUAAUAAUUAUUUUAUAUUCCACGUAAAUAAUAAUAAUAUUAAUAAUAAUAAUAAUAAUAAUAAUUAAUAAAAUAAUAAGAAAACCAUAAUGAAAAAAUAGAAAAUAAAAAUGAGAUAUUUGUUUCUUUUUCUUUUUUAUCAGAAUAUUUUCUUCUUUAAAUGUGCUGAUUUAAAUUUUUUUUUUGACUCAGAUUUAAAUCUUUUUAAGAUGUGGUAAAUAUAUUUGAUUUUUUAUUAUAAGUAAGCUUUUACUAUAAAUAAAUAAGAGUUUAAAGAGUUGGUGUGAAAAGGAAAAGGUAGGAAAAAGGAAAAUUUCCCAAAAUUUGGUAAAAACUUUUCUCUGAAAAAAUUUAAUGAGGUAGGUGUUGCUAUUCUGUCUAUUGUUCUUCGAAAAAAUUUAAUGAGGUAGGUGUUGCUAUUCUGUCUAUUGUUCUUCAUGUAUAUAAACAUUUACUUGUAUCAGUUUUUUUUUUAUCCUUAAUUAAUCAAAAACCUACUAGUAUUGUUUUUAGAGCAUGUAACUCGUUGUGCAUCUCUUAUCUGCUUUCAAAGGAGGAAGAUGAGGAAUUAUGGGCUUAACCCAUGAGGCCCAUUCUGAUAAAUAAAUAAAUAAAUAAAUAAAUAAAUAAAUAAAUAAAUAGUAGGGGUAUUUUGCAUCCAAACCAAUAAAAAACGUAAAUUAAUGCUUGCUAUUCUGUCUAUUGUUCUUCAUGUAUAUAAACAUUUACUUGUAUCAGCUGUUUUUUUUAUCCUUAAUUAAUCUACAACCUACUAGUAUUGUUUUUAGAGCAUGUAACUCGUUGUGCAUCUCUUAUCUGCUUUCAAAGGAGGAAGAUGAGGAAUUAUGGGCUUAACCCAUGAGGCCCAUUCUGAUAAAUAAAUAAAUAAAUAGUAGGGGUAUUUUGCAUCCAAACCAAUAAAAAACGUAAAUUAAUGAAAAUCAGUUGUUAUUAUACUGACAUUUAUACUUUUUCUCUUUAAAAAUGUAAAUAUAAAUUAAUAAGUUUGAUAUAUAUGAUUUAAAUUUUGAGUCAAAUACAUUAAAUAUAAAGAAAGAGUAACUCGUGAGAAAAUAAUAGUUACAGUUUGAGUUACGUGAGACUUCAAUAUGUUGUUCUUCUCCUAUUUGUUGUGUCGGUGGCCUCUAUCGCUACAUGACAUCAAGUUAUCUCCGAUAAGUGGUGAGACUAAGGUUGUCGAAGGAAUAAUUUAUUGUCUCAACAUUACUUUUAACCUAUUCACGAAUAAAUUAAUCUAUUUUAAAUUUUGAGUCAAAUACAUUAAAUAUAAAGAAAGAGUAACUCGUGAGAAAAUAAUAGUUACAGUUUGAGUUACGUGAGACUUCAAUAUGUUGUUCUUCUCCUAUUUGUUGUGUCGGUGUCCUCUCUAUCGCUACAUGACAUCAAGUUAUCUCCGAUAAGUGGUGAGACUAAGGUUGUCGAAGGGAUAAUUUAUUGUCUCAACAUUACUUUUAACCUAUUCACGAAUAAAUUAAUCUAGGAUCUUGUAACAUCAUUUACAUGCAACACAAUAAUAAAAAUGUUUUGUUCAUUAUAAUGGAGGGUGAAUGUAAUUGUCCGGUUAAUAGUUACAAAAUUUCUUGUGAUUAUCAUUAAUAAACUAAUUAAUAGAUGGGGUAUUGCCUCUAUCGCUACAUGACAUCAAGUUAUCUCCGAUAAGUGGUGAGACUAAGGUUGUCGAAGGAAUAAUUUAUUGUCUCAACAUUACUUUUAACCUAUUCACGAAUAAAUUAAUCUAGGAUCUUGUAACAUCAUUUACAUACAACACAAUAAUAAAAAUGUUUUGUUCAUUAUAAUGGAGGGUGAAUGUAAUUGUCCGGUUAAUAGUUACAAAAUUUCUUGUGAUUAUCAUUAAUAAACUAAUUAAUAGAUGGGGUAUUCACAAUUAAAUAAACGAAAAAGUGAAAGCAGUACAAAAUUGAAUAUUAUUGAAUAAUUUUCAAUUUAUUUUAUAUUGAAUUCUAUUUUUAUAUUUAUUUUUGAAAAUGGAACCAAAGCAUAAAUAGAAAUUUUAAUUUUUUUUUAGUUUUUUAUUAAUAUGAAAUAAUGUAUUCAACUAUUAUUUGUUAAUUUUAAUUAACUUUUAAUAAUAUUUAUCUGUUUAAUUUUGUAUAUUUUUAUUCUUAUGUCAGAAUUUUAAAUAUAAUUGAUCUAUUUUAAUCCGUGAUAUUAAUUUUUAGUAUAUUAUAUAUAAUAUUUUACUUAAAACUUGUUACACUAAUGUAAUUUUAUAUACUAUAAUAAAAUAUUAUACUUCAAAUUAUAAUUUAAAUCAAUUAAAAAUUGAUCCAAUUAAAAUCACAUUAAUUUAAAUUAAAUCAGAGUUUUUUGUUGUUCUUUAAUCAAACUCAAUUACAAAUAUUUUAAUAUUUAAAUCUGAUGAGUUUUUCGCAUAAAUAUUUAACAAUAAUGUCACUUUAUUAUUAUUUAUUUUAGUCAACCCAUUUAUUAUGGUAAUGUGAAAAUUAGUUGUUGUUGUACUCACAUAUACGUUUUCUCCCUUAAAAAAUAUAAAUAAAAUUUAAUAAAAUAAAAAUUGAUAUACAUAUAUAUAAUUUAAAUAUUGAGUCAAAUAAUAAAGAGUAACUCAUGUGCAAUAUAAAUAACAGCCUAACGAGCAAACAAUAACUCACAGCAAAAAACACCAUUUGUAAAUCUUGAAAAAAUAAUAGUUACUAUUUGAGCACCAUGAGACAUCAAUUUGUUGUUGUUCUUCUCUUUGUUGUGUUUGUGGCUUCUAUGGCUACAAGAAAUCAACUUAUCCCAGGUACGUGGGUCCCCAUCAAGGACCUUAACGACCCACAUGUGACCGAACUUGCCAAUUUCGCCGUAACCGAACAUGACAAACAAACACAGUCGAAUCUAAAGUUUGAUAAGGUCAUAGGUGGUGAGACUAAGGUUGUUGGAGGGAUAAAAUACUGCCUCAACAUUACUACUACCGGUGGUAUAGAUUUUAACAAAUAUACUGUUACUGUUUUGGAGAAGGCAUGGCUACACUUUAGAAACCUCACUUACUUUGUGCCUAUUCGUGAUUAAAUCAUUCUUGGAUCUUAUAGCAUCAUUCACAUGUAAUCGUG
rnacentral:lncRNA from 1 species